rnacentral:rRNA from 1 species
CCUACGGGGUGCAGCAGUGGGGAAUAUUGGACAAUGGGCGAAAGCCUGAUCCAGCCAUGCCGCGUGUGUGAAGAAGGCCUUCGGGUUGUAAAGCACUUUCAGUGGGGAAGAAAGCCUUGGGGCUAAUACCCUCGAGGAAGGACAUCACCCACAGAAGAAGCACCGGCUAACUCCGUGCCAGCAGCCGCGGUAAUACGGAGGGUGCGAGCGUUAAUCGGAAUUACUGGGCGUAAAGCGCGCGUAGGCGGUCUGAUAAGCCGGUUGUGAAAGCCCCGGGCUCAACCUGGGAACGGCAUCCGGAACUGUCAGGAUAGAGUGCAGGAGAGGAAGGUAGAAUUCCCGGUGUAGCGGUGAAAUGCGUAGAGAUCGGGAGGAAUACCAGUGGCGAAGGCGGCCUUCUGGACUGACACUGACGCUGAGGUGCGAAAGCGUGGGUAGCAAACAGGAUUAGAUACCCUGGUAGUC